AGCAGCGCGGUAAUUCCAGCUCCAAUAGCGAUAUUAAAGUUGUUGCAGUUAAAAAGCUCGUAGUUGAAUUUCGGGGUCAGUAGGUCGGUCGUGCCACUGGUAUGAACUGGUUUUACUGAUUCCUCCCUCUUGAAGAACUGUAAUGCCAUUAAUUUGGUGUUGCAGGGAAUCAGGACUGUUACUUUGAAAAAAUUAGAGUGUUUAAAGCAGGCUUUAGCUUGAAUACAUUAGCAUGGAAUAAUGAAAUAGGACGUUUGAUCCUAUUUUGUUGGUUUCUAGGAUUGACGUAAUGAUUAAUAGGGAUAGUUGGGGGCAUUAGUAUUCAAUUGUCAGAGGUGAAAUUCUUGGAUUUAUUGAAGACUAACUACUGCGAAAGCAUUUGCCAAGGAUGUUUUCAUUAAUCAAGAACGAAAGUUAGGGGAUCGAAGACGAUCAGAUCCGUCGUAGUCUUAACCAUAAACUAUGCCACUAGGGAUCGGAUGAUGUUAAUUUUUUAAUGACUCA
rnacentral:rRNA from 1 species